rnacentral:lncRNA from 1 species
GGAAGUCCCGCUGGACUGCCUCCUGGUAGGGAAGUCUCUCCGGCGUCAGGAAGCUGGAGAGCACAGCCACAGGGCAGCUGGCCCCAAAAAGCCUGCGUGGGACGGGCCGGUGGGCACAUGCUGGAGGCCGCCCCGUUUCCGCCUGGGGGCCAGCUGGCCGGUGGGGCCGCACUUUCCCUGGAUCCUCCGCCAAGAGGGCUGCCUGGCCGCUCCGCGGCACAGUCCAUUCCCUACCCCCUCCUCCCCGGCCCCUGCCCUGCCCGCGGCGGGCACUUUGUCCCGCGGCCCGGGUGGCUGCAGCUUAGGUUUCUCCCCGGAAGGAAAGCUUGAGGCGCACGGUUGCGGUCGGCCGGCUGCGGGGGACCAGGGGCCACACCUGCCGCGGAGGUUACAGUCGGUAAAGUAGAGCGGCGACACGAACUUCUCCACCCGCUCCAGCGUGGUGCGCCAGUGCUUCAAGGCCGGCGCAGCCGCCAUCGCCGGGCUCUCGCUCCUCUUUCCGGAAGGCCCCUGGCGCUACCGUUCCGCUCCACGGCAGGAAACCAAAGGUUCCGGCGUCCAGAGGGCGCCUCCCAGUCCCGGGCAGCUUUUCUUGGAACACCGGCGGCUCUCGGAAGCCCAGCUGCUGUCUGAACUUUGAGCCGAGUUGGAAGCUAGAAACUGUUUUUGAGGCUCUCCUAUGUUGUCCGAAAUAGUGGGCCGCAGGGAAAAUCUCAAAAUAAAAUGGGAAAUUU